GACAUUUGGUUGGAUGUAGUUAUAAAAUCAGUAUAGUAAAAGGUAUAUGUAUUUGCAAAUGUUGCAGGUAGCUAUACCUAGUUUGUUUGAUUUUAUACAGUUGCAACUGCUGUAGUUAUAUAUAUAUAUUUUUUGAUAGACUACAGUUGAGAUUUGUAUUUGUAAAUUCUAUCAAUUUUAAGAUAGAAAUAUUAGAUUAUUUUUCUAAACAUAACGUAAUCAUUAGAUCUUUUAAUUAUUAACUAAGACUUUUAUAUCUAUAUAUAAUUUUUAUAUUAUAAAAUUAUGUAUGAAUUUAAUGAAUUUUAAAUACAAACAUAUUAUAGAUUUGGUCAAAAUAAAAAUUAAGAUAUUAUUAAACUAGCAGACUGGGAAAAAAGAAGCGUAUGAAAAAAUUUAUUGAACCCAAACAUACAUUAUUAAACCCUAGUAAAUUUCAUGAAUAAGCAUUCUGGGGAAAAAAAGAAAAAUUUAAAAAAGAAGAGUAUGAAAAAAAAUUGUAUUUUAUUUAUUUUUUUAAUGGGUGAGCCGAUUCCGGCCCAACUGCUACGGUUGGUAUACCAGCUGCAGCAGUUGGGCCUUCUCGUGUAGAUGCAACUGUAGUAGUUGGGUCUAACUAUACCAAACUAAAUAAAAAUUUAGGCUUCGUUUGGGAUUGCGCGGGGAGAUUGCUUACGUGCGGUGAGAAAGUACGUUAGAAAAAUACCAUGUUUCCGUACGUAAUAUUGCGUUCCGCAUAUCGCGAUGAGUCAGUUACGAUAUAUUUUCUACGGUCCCACCGGAGAACGCAGAAGCAUAUCCCUAUAUAUUUUUUUCUCAACUCCAUUUUAUCUAAUAACGUUAGAUAGACCUCAACACCAAACAAAGGCUUAAUAGAUGCAUAUAUUUUCAACCGCAGUGUAGUUAGCAAUACAUACAACCAAAUAGCCCCUAAAUAGUGUGGACAUCUUAUAUCU
rnacentral:lncRNA from 1 species